rnacentral:rRNA from 1 species
CCUACGGGAGGCAGCAGUGGGGAAUAUUGGACAAUGGGGGGAACCCUGAUCCAGCGACGCCGCGUGAAUGAAGAAGUACUUCGGUAUGUAAAGCUCUAUCCUCAGGGAAGAAAAAAGUGACGGUACCUGACGAAGAAGCCUCGGCUAACUACGUGCCAGCGGCCGCGGUAAUACGUAGGGGGCGAGCGUUAUCCGGAUUUACUGGGUGUAAAGGGUGCGUAGGUGGUGAUGCAAGUCUGAAGUGAAAGGCGGGGGCCCAACCUUCGAACUGCUAUUGAAACUGUUUGGCUGGAGUGCAGGAGAGGUAAGUGGAAUUCCUAGUGUAGCGGUGGAAUGCGUAGAUAUUAGGAGGAACACCAGUGGCGAAGGCGGCUUACUAGACUGUAACUGACGCUGAGGCUCGAAAGCGUGGGGAGCAAACAGGAUUAGAUACCCUUGUAGUC